UCCCCUGUCCCUGCAUUUACAACUAACCCGCCAAGCUUCCUCCCGUAAUCCCAGUACGAUACUCCUGGGCUCACACUCGCCCCGCCCCCUCGGCGUGGGGGCGGGCCUGGCGUAGGCUCCGCCCCAGAGGAGGGGCUUACUUGUUUUUUCCCCUUCAUCGAGAUUUUCUUCGUAAUUGAGUCUAGAGAAAUGAGAGUGGGGCGCACCAUUUCUUUCUUAUUCAUUCAGCAACUGAAUGUAUCUUUUCUAGUCAGAAGGCGGUUGAAUAACCUAAGACAGGCAGUGUUCAUGGCACCUCUUCAUGAAGUCACUUCAGUUUAACACGAAGAGAUUAGAACGAUGAAAUGGCGGGUGGAGGGGCGGUACAGAGAAUCUUCGCCUGAAACAAACCCAGCAACGCACUCCCUAAACUUUAAAAUUAUGAUUUUUCGGUUUGUAGUUAGCAGUUUCAAAAAUCUUCCAGUUUUCUUGGACAAAAACUUUUUGAUCUUACUCCUUUGGGUCAUUUUCCAAAGAGGCCGUCUUUAACCGUUUACAAUUGAAGAUUCGCUCUCAUAUUUUUUUCAUUAAUACGUUUUAUUUUAUGAAAUAUUUAAUAUAUACAGAGAGAUAUACAAUAUCUCAUUUUUGCUUGAAUGCAAGCUAACAGACAUUUCUGUUUGUUAUCCAAGUUAUCUUUGGUGCUUAGGGCACUGCAUGGUACAUGAAAGAGGAAAUCAGGCCCUUUGAAAAGAGCUGAUCACAGUCCUUCCCUGUGAAGCCCUUCACUCCUUCAGCGCAUACAGCACAUCGUCCUGGCUGAUGUUGAGCCGCACACGAAGAAGCAGGUCGUUCCUGCUGGGUCCCACAAGGAGGAGACGGCAAGAGCUCAGGCAAGUCAGACGCUUCUUAUCCAGGAUCCUCAACACCCUGAAGGCAUCAACAGGUGCCUUUGUGGGGCACAAAUGCGGGGGCAGAAUGCUAGUUGGGCUUUGGAAUCAGAACAGGUCUGAAUCCUGGUUCUACUAAUCACCUAAAUAUGCAACCCUGGGCAAGUUAUUUCACUUUUUGAGCUUUAGUUUUAUC